UUAACGACCACGACCACUCGGUUUCAAUCCUGUAAUUAACAGAAGUGGACUGAACGUCUGAAGGCAGUUUUAAAUGACUCAUUCUAGUUGUUGGACAAGGUCAAAGCUGCAGACUCUGGAUAGAUAACCAAAGGUCAUUGAGUAUCCAGGUUCCAGGUAAACAUCUUGGAAUAAGUCAAGGUCUGUGGGGCCUUCUGGGGACAGCGCUAUCACUCACUUGAACACAAUCCUCCUGGCUUUUGAA